GAUGAACGCUGGCGGCGUGCCUAAUACAUGCAAGUCGAACGAAACUUCUUUAUCACCGAGUGCUUGCACUCACCGAUACAGAGUUGAGUGGCGAACGGGUGAGUAACACGUGGGCAACCUUCCCAAAAGAGGGGGAUAACACUUGGAAACAGGUGCUAAUACCGCAUAACCAUAGUUACCGCAUGGUAACUAUGUAAAAGGUGGCUAUACUACCGCUUUUGGAUGGGCCCGCGGCGCAUUAGCUAGUUGGUAGGGUAAAGGCUUACCAAGGCAAUGAUGCGUAGCCGAAUUGAGAGGUUGAUCGGCCACAUUGGGACUGAGACACGGCCCAAACUCCUACGGGAGGCAGCAGUAGGGAAUCUUCCACAAUGGGCGAAAGCCUGAUGGAGCAACGCCGCGUGGGUGAAGAAGGUCUUCGGAUCGUAAAACCCUGUUGUUAGAGAAGAAAGUGCGUGAGAGUAACUGUUCACGUUUCGACGGUAUCUAACCAGAAAGCCACGGCUAACUACGUG
rnacentral:rRNA from 1 species